UACGAAGGGGGCUAGCGUUGCUCGGAAUUACUGGGCGUAAAGGGCGCGUAGGCGGAUACUUAAGUUAGAGGUGAAAGCCCAGGGCUCAACCCUGGAAUAGCCUUUAAUACUGGGUAUCUUGAGUUCGGGAGAGGUGAGUGGAACUGCGAGUGUAGAGGUGAAAUUCGUAGAUAUUCGCAAGAACACCAGUGGCGAAGGCGGCUCACUGGCCCGAUACUGACGCUGAGGCACGAAAGCGUGGGGAGCAAACAGGG
rnacentral:rRNA from 1 species